GCGGACGUGGCGAAACCGGUAGACGCAGCGGACUUAAAAUCCGCUUCCCCCAGGGAGUGUGGGUUCGAGUCCCACCGUCCGCACCA
rnacentral:tRNA from 1 species